GGUAGGUAAUAGGGAAUUGGGAGAUGAGGUGUGCGAAUCAAGAGUGUUGAGCAAUUCUCGGUAUGUUAGAGAGUCAGUCUUGGCUGUCAACUUCCGCAACUUGGGGGCUCUUUGGCUAUACUGAUAUCGAUGACAGAUACCUCUUAUAUGGGUGGCCCGUGGCCUUCAAGCUAGCUUUUCUACUGUCAUUUGUUUAUGGAAAUGGGGUGGCUUCAGAAAAAUGGAGGACAAAGCUAGAAUUUUAAAAGCACAUUUUAGAUAUGGGGUGUAUUCAUAAAGAUGUGGGGUGUUAAUAAAACAACAUUUUUUUAUUAACUUUUGCAUGAAUAUACACUACAUAAAGUAAUUGUCUAACAAAAGGUUGGUACGUACCAGUUUGAUAAUAACAAUGGACUAGGAGAAAUUAUAUUAAUUAGAAAGAAAAUGACUGUAAUUUAAGAUAAGUAGUAUACACUUUGAUUAACUAAUUAUAGGAUUUAAUGAUUAUAUAAUUGUGGUUAGAAAAUGUGACACCACAUCAAUAGCAAACAAAAGCAAGGAAAUUAGAGUACUUAUCUCAUGACAUUUCGAGUGUCAUAACUCACAAACGUGCUACCUAUCUGCAUGAUUUGGACGCUGCCCCACUUAAAUGCAACAACAAGAUAUAGAUAUUUAUCAGCCAUAAAAUGUGCCUUUUUCUUUCAAACACAUGAUAGUAUAUAUCCGCAACAAGUCACAAGACUUAAAGUUAUCCAGAAAGUUAUCCAGAGUAUUGUAUCUAAUUGAGAUCUUGCGUUUGAUCUCUCUGAUCCCAAAUAUUGCUUUAAAUCGGAUAACACUAUGAUAAAAAUAUGGCUUUUUAGCUAAAAUAGUUCAUAAGAUUGACAUAACUUCUCACUUUGAUCUCUGAAAUUUGAAAUUGAUAGAAGUGGCCCCUGAGUUUAUCCACUAUCAAUCAUUUUGGUCAAUUUGUGAAAAAUCUCUAUUAAAUAAGGAUAAAAUGACAAAGAUACCAUCAUUUUUUUGUCAAAUCAUUUUUGGCUUGUUUAUUAAAUUGAGGGUAUUUUUGUCAUUUUGGUCCAUAAUAAAAAUUUUCACCAAAGGACCAUAACGAUUUACGGUGGACAAAAUCAAGGAUCAUUUGUAUCGAUUUUAAAUUUCAGGACAAAAGUGAGGAGUUAUGCCAAUCCGAGAGACCAUUUUAACUAAAAAGCCUAAAUAUAUUAUGAUAGUAUUUAAAUUCAAGAGGUUUGGCUAUAAUGAUAUGUACUACUUAGUGGUACGAAUUUUUUGCAAGAUUUAACUUCUGCAAAAAUUCAUUAGAUGCUUAUAUGUAAAAUUUAAUUAUUGACUUUUUGGAUCACUUAAUGAUUCGAACAAAAAAAAUUGAAACUUAAGAUUAUAUUAGUACUUAAUCUCUACUGGACCACACCAGCAUUACCCAUUGGAGCUAGAACUCAUGGACAUUAAUUUUUCUUUGUUUGCUUUUUAAACAAUUAGCGUGUUAGGAGGUAAUCAAAUCUUUAACUACUUAUAGCUAAACAAACAUCCUGAUUUAUCUUAGUGUCUCUCCAAGACUGCAAGAUUUAAGUUCCAAUUGGAGUUUAACAAACCCAAGUAAUUACUUUUAGCCGAUCCAAACUUUUAUCUUAUGUGAUAACCAGAACUGGAACAGGUGACUAUUGGGCAUUGGAAAAGAACAAUUAAAUUAAGGCCAAGUUGUUACUAGUGGAUAACCAUAACCAGUAAUCUAGCAUAUCCCAAUACCCAAGUUGCACCACUAAGCAGUGUUUUGGUGUUAAAAAAGCAGCACUUGAUAGAAUAAAAGAGGGUUCCGAUCGUUGUUUUUUUUUGCCUGUAGAUUUGUGUAUGGCUUAAAGCUGGGAGCCCUAGACAAAACAAUAAAGCCUAGGAUGUAAUCUUGUAGAACUUGAUCAUGGCAGAAGAUUUAUAUUUGCCCAAAAUCUAUUACUUUAAAAUUUAAUGCCUACCCCCCUUUUCUAUAUGAUAUAUA
rnacentral:lncRNA from 1 species